ensembl:lncRNA
GAAAGAUAGAAUACAUUUUUAUUCUAACAAUAACACACUGGAUUUGAGUAGAAUGCAAGUCAGCUGAUAAUAUGGACAGUUUGGUACAGAACAAAGUAAUGGUGUGGUGGGCUACCACAGUGUGAUACAAAACAAGGGUAAAGUACAGAAUAGUUAAGAAUAGAUUCUAUCUGUCAUUUUAUCGUACAGCCUGUAAAACCUUUAAACCUUUUCAACACCUUUUCAAAAUUUUCUUUCAAGCCCACUAAGUUUGUCUUGACUAACUGUACUUGUCUAGUAGUAAAAAUGUAGGACUUGCAGUAAAGUUUGCCAAAUGUCCAUUUCCUGAUGUGAAUUGACUUGCUUGUUCCACCUAAUUUUCUCUUCUUGUCCUUCACAGCAACAGUUUAAAAACAACAAAGAAAGUGUUUUGUGGAAUCUGACAUCAUCUCUGCCUUACGAGUUGCGAAUACGUUGUGAUCCCACCAAUGAGUGUGUACAGUGUCCUCGUAGUGAGGUCAUCGUGGUUCCACCGGAACUCACAGAUGCACCAUCAAUCCAGCUGGAGAUUCAAGACCAUAUACAAAAUCGUUUUAUAUCACCAGGACAGAGAAAAGUAGUCGUGAAGUGGGAGUAUGCAAACAGUGAGGCUGUGGCUUACUACAAUGUGACAGUGAGGAAAGUAUCCGGGGAAUUUAGCAAUCAGGACAGUUUCAGAACUGAAGAUUCAUCUCUCACCAUGAUCCUGUCUUACUCUGUAUACAACAUCAGUAUCAGAGCUUUAAACACUGCUGGAUCAUCUCCUGUUUCCAGUAUAGCCACUGAGCAAAUGGAUGAAUGGAGGGAUUCAUUUGGGCCAUUCAGUGUCAACAUAACCAGCCACAACCAUUUUAGUCUGUCCUGGAACAGGUCCGUCUCAAGUGUUUGUUACUCUGUGGAGUGGUGGGCCAAAGAACAGAUACCAACUUUUUGUACAUUCUACGAAAAGCAGACACGCAAAGAAAUAACUGGGAAAACUGAAACCUAUAGGAGCAUAGGACGUGACGUGUGGCCAAUUUUUCAGCCAUAUACAAGAUAUUAUUUCGUCCUGCACACCAGACCGUACCCAGACACCUGCAACAUGAAGAAUGUAAACAACAGUGAGACGACCUAUGGCACAGCCCAAGCUUACUUCACUGAAGGAAGUCCUAUCAGUGCUCCUGGGAAUGUGAGCAUUUUUAAUAUUACCCGGCAUUCCUCAGUAAUCACAUGGUGCCCCGUGUCUGAGGAAGACCUGCGUGGAUUCUUAUUAGGCUACUACAUCUACUUGACAUGGGAAAAUAAUGAAACAUCCUUCAAAGUGGAUCCCAGCGUAAACAGUUAUGAGCUGCAGAAUCUUGAAAGCAACAGUGCGUACCGCGUGCAGCUGUCUGCAUUUACAGCGGCUGGAGAAGGAGAGCGAAGUGAUUUCAAACACUUUGUCACAAACCUACUAGGGUAUCCUGGAGCCACUGAACAGACAGAGGUUAGAGGAAAGUGAGGGAUGUGAUUACACUGCAGUCCAGUACAGUGUUUGUCGUUGGGAGCAAGAGGGAGGCAUCUCCUCUCUGUAGCCCUCCCACUGCUCAGGCUGGUGUGCCCACCACCCUUCUCCUCAGUGAAGAUGAGGACAGCCCAUCCAUCCCGGAGCAGAUCCCACCACCUGACAUCCCAACACAAGUCCUUCAAGGGGCGUUUCUAGGAUUUUCAUUUUAGGGGGGCUCAGCCCCCAACAAGGGUAUGAUUAAAAAAAUAUAUUAUUUGAGGUAGGGUAGGGUAGGGUUGUAUACUACUAACCUUAUUGUAAUCCACUAUUCCAUUGUAUUCCCUGUAUUUCAUAUAUGGGAGUAGGAGUACUGACUGAGCCAUAUACAACACUGUAAAACAUUUUUGAAAAAUGUAGAUGUGACCAGUCACUAGAAAAUUUUGAGUUGGGAAUGUAGAUUUUUUUUACAAUGAAGACUUCCUGAUUCAUUAUUAGGACAUUCAUGUUUAUCCUUUGACGAUACCACUGUUUUUUCUUAUGAAAUGUACGUGGAAAUUGGCAGACAAUUAAAACAACAUAAGGGUUCAAUGACUGCAAUUAAUCUUGUGAACACAGUGGUAUUGUGUGUGAGAGGCUGUCUACGUUCUAUUCUCAUUUUUUGAAAAAUUUAGAUGUGACCAGUCAUUAGAAAAUUUUGAGUUGGGAAUGUAGAUUUUUUUUACAAUGAAGACUUCCUGAUUCAUUAUUAGGACAUUCAUGUUUAUCCUUUGACGAUACCACUGUUUUUUCUUAUGAAAUGUACGUGGAAAUUGGCAGACAAUUAAAACAACAUAAGGGUUCAAUGACUGCAAUUAAUCUUGUGAACACAGUGGUAUUGUGUGUGAGAGGCUGUCUACGUUCUAUUCUCACCUGACUUGCUCAUUUGCAGACCUACUCCCGCACUACAAGAAAAAAUGUUGUAUAUCCAUCUACAAUGAAAUAUAUAUAUAUUAGCCUUUAUAAUCAACAAUACGGUUGGUUAUACAUCAAGUCACCCCCUGAAAAUUUAUUUCAUUUCAAAUCAUUUAACUAACCAGCUAAUAUUCAUUAAGAAUACAGACAAAACAUGUAUUAAUGCAAUUGUCUAUUGGCAAUAUGUUUAAUCUAUUCUAUAUUUAUUUCUAUUUAUUAAAAAUAACAACAUGAAUUAUCAUGGCACUUCUAUAAAUCAAUUACUUAAAAAAAAAUCACAAAUCCCUUUAAUCUACUCUUACUCUAAUAUAUGUAUCAUGAUACACUAUGAUUCAUUAUUACUUAAUACAAAAAUAUAUUUAAAAAUACAAAACAAAAUAACUCCACAUGAUGUUUCUCUCUCUGUGCCAUUUAGUGCUCUCAGACGUGUGUCUUUAAUCAUUUCUGUGCAUGGCUGCAUAAUGUAAUGCCGAAAUACACAAUAAUAUGUUUUGAAUUUUAAAAAGUAAAUUAAAAUAAAUCACUAUUGUUUUCUAAAGUAUGUUUUCA